CGAACGCUGGCGGCGUGCUUAACACAUGCAAGUCGAACGCGAAAGGGACUUCGGUCCUGAGUAAAGUGGCGCACGGGUGAGUAACGCGUAGAUAACCUGUCUUCAUGUCUGGAAUAAUACGCCGAAAGGGGUACUAAUACCGGAUAUUCUUUGCUUUUCAUAAGUUAUGCAAGCAAAGGUGGCCUCUGCAUAUGCUACUGCAUGAAGAGGGGUCUGCGUACCAUUAGCUAGUAGGUGGGGUAAUGGCCUACCUAGGCGACGAUGGUUAGCGGGUCUGAGAGGAUGAUCCGCCACACUGGCACUGGAACACGGGCCAGACUCCUACGGGAGGCAGCAGUGAGGAAUAUUGCGCAAUGGGGGAAACCCUGACGCAGCGACGCCGCGUGAGUGAGGAAAGGCCUUCGGGUCGUAAAGCUCUGUCAAGAGGAAAGAAGUGUACAAUGGCUAAUACCUGUUGUAUUUGACGGUACCUCUAAAGGAAGCACCGGCUAACUCCGUGCCAGCAGCUGC
rnacentral:rRNA from 1 species